CUUCGUUAGUAGGUGAGUCAGGCUCGGACCCGCAGAUGUCGAAGUAGAGCCAAGUCCCUGCCUGAGAUUCCAAAGGUGCUGGUGUCUUCUCUUCAGUCACUUCACUCUCUUCUUCGUUUUCUAAAUAUAACCAUAUAGGUAUAUAUAUAAGAAUGAAUGCCAUGUAAUGCUUAUGAGAGUGCAUAGAUAAUAAAGGUUUAUUAACUAAGUUUUGAAUACAACUUUCCUUCACGGAACUCCGAGAACUUAGGGUUUCCGGAGUCAGUAAAGGAGUUCAAAGGGCAGGGGUAGGGUUUGGGUUAUAAGUAUCAAACAAUGUCCAAAUCAUAUCAAACUCUACCCAAGGUCUCAAAAUAUUGUUGAGAGAUUACCCUAAAAAUUUAGUGAAUUUUGGAUUUAUUAUAUAAUCUCUAAAAAUCCAGAAACAUGGUUUUUGGAUGAUUUAAAUACUCUAUAAUUUCCUAUUUGGACUAAAAAUCAUGAAACUAUUUUUAUUAAAUUCUAUAGGAAAUUAGAAGCCCAUUAAAAUUGGUUUGGUAUUUUUAUCAUUUUUCUUGAAUUCUUUAUGGAUUUCUCAACUUUCUUAGAAAAAGAAAAAGAAAAACGUUCAAUAGUAUUGGGCCAAAUUGUGCCCAACCGGCCCAGUUUAAGCAGAUUACAGGGGCGCGCCCGCGGCAGCGCAGCCUGUUUUGCAUAAAAGUCCUUGCCAGAGUUAAUAUUAGGAACGAAGUCCUCAACUGAACUCUGCGAGUCACUGACAUUUUACUUCUGGCCCCUUCUAGGUUUCUCGUCUUUACAACGUGAGUCCCUGACGUCGCCGGCGGCGCGGACGCAUUCCCACCGCGACACAACGGCGGAGGAGAGCCCGGGCAGCCGUUGGAUAGCGACCAGACCAAAUCCUAACCUACCCCGAGCAUCUAUAGGCAUGGAUUUGACUCACUAACUUACAGAGUGCCAUGACCACGUUCAAGGCGGGAGCCCAGUACCGCGACGUUCACCCAAAUGGCUCCGGCACAGGAUGUUUCAAAUUGAGGGCACAUGGAGCACGAGUAGGGUGCGGGAAACACGACGCUCACAAGAAUUGCCCCUGGGCCAACUGAACUUUGAGUGGGUCAUCACCAGGACAGUUCACGCGGUGUCAAGCCCGUGUUCCGACCAAACCAAGACCGUAAGGACCAAACGGACUUCUCGGUGAGCUUCACCAAGGUACGGGGAUGCUAGAACAUCAGCUUGUGGGGGUUAAGACAUACCACAGUCGUCUGGCCACGUGAAGCCGAGGUGUUGCCGGGGUGGUCAUCAAAUAAGUUUGGUGCCUUGAUCGAUGGAACUUGGGUGUGUCUAGGGUAUGAUUUGGGGGUGUAGUACUACUAAUCAUGGCUGCUCAACAUGGUUGAUGGUGAACUAAGGAUCACUGGUUGGGUUCCUACCUUUCCCUCCCCAGUUGCUCUUUAUAUAGGCAGGGAAAAGAUCACAGGGGUUGGAUGCUUGAACUUGCAGCAAGGACAGCUAUGAACUCUAAAUGCAGUCGUGGCUUCCUCCAGUAAAUCCAUGCCAACACAUAGAGCCUAGCUACGCAGGGUGGAGAUUAUCCAUGGGCAAAAGAAAAGAGGGGGUAAGGAUGAGGUGCACUGUACAGGAUAUUUGCACAGGUGAUAUUUCAGGGAUGCACCAAUCUGAAUACCCUUGCCAGCACACCAUCCCAAUCUUCAUCCUAUUCCAAAGUUGGUCACGGCAAGAAAAACUGAACUUGGUCACUUCUAGCAGCCAAAUAUCUGAUUUGUCCCUUUCUGUAGACAGUAAACCAACAGAUAAGAAUUCUAGUGUGUGCAGACUUAAAUGGAUCCAAACUGAUAUUUCUAAAGGGAUGAAGCCACUAGAACUGCUGCUGUCCAGCAUACCCCAUUAAAGAUUCAUUAGAUGAGGACCCCCUCUCAUUCACUGCUCACAAAAUAGGUCAAAAUUUGGAUAUUUUUUAGUAGAUCUGAGGCCACUAGAUCCCUGGCUCUGGACUUCGACCUUAUCCCUACCCAAACAUCCAAAGAAACCAGCAGGGAGAGGAGAUAAUCUUCUUCAGAAACUGUCUUCAGUCCUAAACGAAUUACUGUUGCUUAGCUGGACUGACAGGGGCCUUUCAAGGUCAUUCCCUUACAUUUUCCCUGUAGCAACACCUUAAUUUAAUCAUAGGAAACUUGCUCAUUGACUAUAGCUCUUCAACCCACUACAACAUUCCACUGCUAGAAACACAUGGAUCACAAACUAUAAGGUUCCAAAGCCAAGCACACACUCUGAAACUCUUCUUCAGAGAGCUGAACUCAAAUGCAACCCUUUAAGUCUGACAAGGCAUAUUAGAGAGCAUUUUACUCACAAUUCCAUAUGACAACAGACCCAUCUCCCUUAACAAGCCUUAUUCUCCAACCAUAGGUCUUCCACUUUGGUACAACACUCCAAAGCUGAAACUACUCAGAAUUGAAGUUGUGGUGUUCCAAAUUAUAGCAGAAACAGUCAAACACUCGGUCUCAGCUUAACUGAACAGCCCUCACUAUUUCUGACAGAGGACGUUACAGCUCCAUUAUCUCUCAAUCUUUACAUAACAACAGGACCAUCUCCUUGCAUGAAACUUGUCCAUCUAUAUCUGGUAUCCAACUUUGCUAUAGAAACUAUAGUCUAAAACUACUCAUAUUGAUCACAAAACAGCUCCAAAUUAAGCAUCCUAUACUGAAAUUCAGGUUUCAGAGACUGAACCCAAAGCAGUUGGAACCAGCCUGACAGUCCAAUUUUGAGCCACUUUUACUCCUUUUUCUGUGUAGCACCAAACCAAACUCACUUAAAGAAAUUUGUUCUCCUAUAUAUGGUAUUCCAUUUUGAUAUACAACUCUUGGUCUAAAACCAUAUAUAUUAAUCACAACUGAGCUCCAAACAGAGCAUCAUUGGCUGUUUUUCAGAGUUUCAGCUCUGAACCACUAAGUCACCAAUAUACUGACAGUCCAUUUUUAGGCAAGCUUUACUCCAAAUUUUGCAUGGGGUCAUGUCAAACUCACUUAAUAAAACUUGUUCACCAUCAUAUGGACUUCAACUUCUCUAUAAACACCAUAGUCCAAAGUUCUAUGGUUUAGCCACAAAUGAGCUCCAAACAGCAUACUCAACACUGAAACUCCACUCCACUAUUCACUAUCUGAGAUUCCAUGAGUCUGUCAACACUUCUUUGGACCACCUUUUCUGCUGGUAGCAUAUACUUUUAAGGCAAAGUUGCUUAACAAAUUUUGUACUUCAAUAGUUCCUCUACAAUUUCUAUAUAGUGACCCUUAGCUAAACCCUUUUGGAUUCCACUCUACCACAACCCAAAGUUUGCACAAAAUACUGAAAUUCAGACUGUAUUUUAUUAAGUCUGAACCCCACACUUUCCACCAGCUCUACUUUAGACCAGUUCUUCUCCAAAUUCCAUAUAGAUUUAAGGCUAGGUUACUCAAUCAAAGUCACACUCCUCACAUAGCUUUAUAAUUUUUUUACAAUGACUACCUUCAAAAUGUUUAUAGAUCAGAAGUUAUAAAGGACCAAAACUGCCUAGUUGCUACUAUUUUCAGCAAUUCCAAUCUGAGCUCAAAACUGAACUUUGAUGAUUUACUCCAAUUUUCUUCACACAACAUGGGAAUCUCCAAAUAAGAAAUUCAUUCACUUUUUCAAGCUCCACAACUUUGAUAUAUGGAUUUUUGUCAAAUUACUUCUAGAUUUUGAAUUCCUCUUUUGGGCUAGUUUUAGUGUUUCACAUGUUCUUCAUUUUCUUCAAGUGUUUCUUCCACUUGCUCUACCUUUGAAAACAAGGUUGCCAUAAACUCUAGGACUUGCCUUUAGCACUUGAAGUUUCCAAGUCAAUUUGUUACUUGCUCAAGAGUUGACCUACUCUUGUCUAGCUUAAGCCAAGUCCUUAAACUAAACUCUAACAACACACAACAUCACACUGUUUGAAAAAAAAUUAACCUAGUGAAUGCAUUCUAAGUGUAACAAGCACAUUAAUACAGAUGCUUAUGAUGACAUGUCAGAGUUUUAGUUUACGUAACACCAGAGGUGUUACAACCUUCCCCCCUAAAAAGAAAUCUCGUCCCGAGAUUUAAAAGUCUAGGCUUAGUAAUGAAAAAGGAAACGUGUCACGGACUUAUUUCCUAAUUUCUCUUACAAGGUAGGGGAGGUGUUUUGUUUUACUUAACCACGAUGUUGUUCAACACCUCUAAGGCAGUUACCUGAGCUCCUUCCCAAGGAGUCAUUCCUUUAGAAUGGAACAUCCAAUGUGGCCAAGAUGGUUUUCUAGCACGUUCUGGAAUACGCACUACUACUCAUACCAUGGUUGUCCUCUAAGAAUAGUGUGCGACAACAUUUCUCUAAGGGGGAAAUCUUUUAUUAGCAUAGUUCUUAGCAUGAUGCAUGUAUAAUUACAGAAUCAACCUUAGUUGAUUCAACCUUCUAUGCAUUACACUCUUCCUAUCUGGUCUUUAAAAUAAACUCUUCAGAAACACUUAGGUAAGAAGGGAAGAAAUUUUGUAGAUAAGUCUUUAGAAAAUUCUUUUUGAAGAUGUCUCAUAAUAUCUGCAGAGAUGGGCUUCGCUUCGAUACCAGCUGUGACGGAACCUCCCAAGUAAUUAGGCCCACCUACAGUUGUCCUUGUCCAACAGACAUCAGACAACCCUGUAGAUGUUCCUGAAUCACUUGACAAGUUCGGUAUCUUCUUUUCUCACCUUUCCCAAGAGCGUUUCACCCGUCUUGCAGACAUUACAGAACAUCGGAGAUAUAGAAAUGCGGAAGCAAUUAUAUAAACUUACAUUUAUUUAGAAAGUAAGAUCAAGUUAUUUAUUACAGACCAGAGUUAUAAAACGAGUGCAGGGUAGUAUUAUUACACAUACCAGGGGAGGCAAAAACUCCUCCCGAUAACUAUCAAACAAAGGUUCUUAUGGAGGACCACGUCCUCCCGCAUCUUCACUCUUGUUUUUCUUCAUUUGACACCACCUUGGAGCAAAAGCAACAAAAAUUUGUCGCUUCCUCACCUAAAAACAACGGAGGGAUAAACCCUGAGUAUGGAAUUACUCACCAAGUCUUACCCGACUAAGGAAAAGACUCUCAAGGGUAUGCUGGAUAAUUAGGAAUCAAGGAGAGGCUUUAGCAAAAAUCAACUUAGAUACUUUUGCAGAAAUAGCUUACUAAAGUGAGUCCUUACUUUCAAUAUUUUAACACCAUAUUAAGUAUUAAUUGACUCUAUUUGCAUCUAGUCUAAUUUCACCAUCUCAUCAAUACAACAUCAUUUUUAUUCAUAAUGUUCACAUCCUGACUUAGGUUGUAGGGAAGUGACCAAGUCUUCAUAACCGCGAAGGUACGGCGAUCUGAAUCGAUUAUACUCAGCUGAGGAUCUCCAAUCACACGACAUAUGUAGCACUUAACCCUUGCAUAUGUCAACCCGCCACCGGGGUUCUUAAGACCAGAUCAGGUUCACGCAAACCGAGAGCACAGAUACACCACCGUCCAGCCUCUUGCCACGGAGGGUACACGCUACUCUCGCCACCGCUCCACGCCCAUUUCGUGUUAUCUUAUUCUGGCCUUAGUCUUCCCGAGGCAAGGCUUACCCAUGACGAGGCAUGUGACCAGUUAAAGGGUCCUCGAUCAGCACGCCUACAUACACGUUCAAUCCUUAAUCAACCUGGGUAGAACAUCACCUGUUCCUAACCCAAGUCUCAAUUUAAGUAUUCCCAUCCUUAGGAUUGUUUCUGUUCCUUAGGAUGAGAAGAGCAUCAUAGGGAACUUUACAGUAAGAUCCCACCAUUGCUCCAAAUGAAAAUAUUCUUGCAGGUAGAAGUCAUCCUUUCUCGAGCUAGGCUAAGGACAACCUCUAUCCACAAGAUCUGAGCAAGGCUAAGCAUUUUUGUAAAUCAUAUUUUGAUACUUCACUGAAGUAUCUAUAAAGGUAUGGAUAUCAAGGAAAGCAAUGCAUCAAAGGGUUCCAAGCAACUCCUAUGAACCUAAUGCACAUUUCAUUAGACUUAAAGUGUGCGAAAAUUAUUUAAAAACACAAGGAAAGGGUUGCAUGCACCGGGGCUUGCCUUCGUUAGUAGGUGAGUCAGGCUCGGACCCGCAGAUGUCGAAGUAGAGCCAAGUCCCUGCCUGAGAUUCCAAAGGUGGUGGUGUCUUCUCUUCAGUCACUUCACUCUCUUCUUCGUUUUCUAAAUAUAACCAUAUAGGUAUAUAUAUAAGAAUGAAUGCCAUGUAAUGCUUAUGAGAGUGCAUAGAUAAUAAAGGUUUAUUAACUAAGUUUUGAAUACAACUUUCCUUCACGGAACUCCGAGAACUUAGGGUUUCCGGAGUCAGUAAAGGAGUUCAAAGGGCAGGGGUAGGGUUUGGGUUAUAAGUAUCAAACAAUGUCCAAAUCAUAUCAAACUCUACCCAAGGUCUCAUAAUAUUGUUGAGAGAUUACCCUAAAAAUUUAGUGAAUUUUGGAUUUAUUAUAUAAUCUCUAAAAAUUCAGAAACAUGGUUUUUGGAUGAUUUAAAUACUCUAUAAUUUCCUAUUUGGACUAAAAAUCAUGAAACUAUUUUUAUUAAAUUCUAUAGGAAAUUAGAAGCCCAUUAAAAUUGGUUUGGUAUUUUUAUCAUUUUUCUUGAAUUCUUUAUGGAUUUCUCAACUUUCUUAGAAAAAGAAAAAGAAAAACGUUCAAUAGUAUUGGGCCAAAUUGUGCCCAACCGGCCCAGUUUAAGCAGAUUACAGGGGCGCGCCCGCGGCAGCGCAGCCUGUUUUGCAUAAAAGUCCUUGCCAGAGUUAAUAUUAGGAACGAAGUCCUCAACUGAACUCUGCGAGUCACUGACAUUUUACUUCUGGCCCCUUCUAGGUUUCUCGUCUUUACAACGUGAGUCCCUAACGUCGCCGGCGGCGCGGACGCAUUCCCACCGCGACACAACGGCGGAGGAGAGCCCGGGCAGCCGUUGGAUAGCGACCAGACCAAAUCCUAACCUACCCCGAGCAUCUAUAGGCAUGGAUUUGACUCACUAACUUACAGAGUGCCAUGACCACGUUCAAGGCGGGAGCCCAGUACCGCGACGUUCACCCAAAUGGCUCCGGCACAGGAUGUUUCAAAUUGAGGGCACAUGGAGCACGAGUAGGGUGCGGGAAACACGACGCUCACAAGAAUUGCCCCUGGGCCAACUGAACUUUGAGUGGGUCAUCACCUGGACAGUUCACGCGGUGUCAAGCCCGUGUUCCGACCAAACCAAGACCGUAAGGACCAAACGGACUUCUCGGUGAGCUUCACCAAGGUACGGGGAUGCUAGAACAUCAGCUUGUGGGGGUUAAGACAUACCACAGUCGUCUGGCCACGUGAAGCCGAGGUGUUGCCGGGGUGGUCAUCAAAUAAGUUUGGUGCCUUGAUCGAUGGAACUUGGGUGUGUCUAGGGUAUGAUUUGGGGGUGUAGUACUACUAAUCAUGGCUGCUCAACAUGGUUGAUGGUGAACUAAGGAUCACUGGUUGGGUUUCUACCUUUCCCUCCCCAGUUGCUCUUUAUAUAGGCAGGGAAAAGAUCACAGGGGUUGGAUGCUUGAACUUGCAGCAAGGACAGCUAUGAACUCUAAAUGCAGUCGUGGCUUCCUCCAGUAAAUCCACGCCAACACAUAGAGCCUAGCUACGCAGGGUGGAGAUUAUCCAUGGGCAAAAGAAAAGAGGGGGUAAGGAUGAGGUGCACUGUACAGGAUAUUUGCACAGGUGAUAUUUCAGGGAUGCACCAAUCUGAAUACCCUUGCCAGCACACCAUCCCAAUCUUCAUCCUAUUCCAAAGUUGGUCACGGCAAGAAAAACUGAACUUGGUCACUUCUAGCAGCCAAAUAUCUGAUUUGUCCCUUUCUGUAGAUAGUAAACCAACAGAUAAGAAUUCUAGUGUGUGCAGACUUAAAUGGAUCCAAACUGAUAUUUCUAAAGGGAUGAAGCCACUAGAACUGCUGCUGUCCAGCAUACCCCAUUAAAGAUUCAUUAGAUGAGGACCCCCUCUCAUUCACUGCUCACAAAAUAGGUCAAAAUUUGGAUAUUUUUUAGUAGAUCUGAGGCCACUAGAUCCCUGGCUCUGGACUUCGACCUUAUACCUACCCAAACAUCCAAAGAAACCAGCAGGGAGAGGAGAUAAUCUUCUUCAGAAACUGUCUUCAGUCCUAAACGAAUUACUGUUGCUUAGCUGGACUGACAGGGGCCUUUCAAGGUCAUUCCCUUACAUUUUCCCUGUAGCAACACCUUAAUUUAAUCAUAGGAAACUUGCUCAUUGACUAUAGCUCUUCAACCCACUACAGCAUUCCACUGCUAGAAACACAUGGAUCACAAACUAUAAGGUUCCAAAGCCAAGCACACACUCUGAAACUCUUCUUCAGAGAGCUGAACUCAAAUGCAACCCUUUAAGUCUGACAAGGCAUAUUAGAGAGCAUUUUACUCACAAUUCCAUAUGACAACAGACCCAUCUCCCUUAACAAGCCUUAUUCUCCAACCAUAGGUCUUCCACUUUGGUACAACACUCCAAAGCUGAAACUACUCAGAAUUGAAGUUGUGGUGUUCCAAAUUAUAGCAGAAACAGUCAAACACUCGGUCUCAGCUUAACUGAACAGCCCUCACUAUUUCUGACAGAGGACGUUACAGCUCCAUUAUCUCUCAAUCUUUACAUAACAACAGGACCAUCUCCUUGCAUGAAACUUGUCCAUCUAUAUCUGGUAUCCAACUUUUCUAUAGAAACUAUAGUCUAAAACUACUCAUAUUGAUCACAAAACAGCUCCAAAUUAAGCAUCCUAUACUGAAAUUCAGGUUUCAGAGACUGAACCCAAAGCAGUUGGAACCAGCCUGACAGUCCAAUUUUGAGCCACUUUUACUCCUUUUUCUGUGUAGCACCAAACCAAACUCACUUAAAGAAAUUUGUUCUCCUAUAUAUGGUCUUCCAUUUUGAUAUACAACUCUUGGUCUAAAACCAUAUAUAUUAAUCACAACUGAGCUCCAAACAGAGCAUCAUUGGCUGUUUUUCAGAGUUUCAGCUCUGAACCACUAAGUCACCAAUAUACUGACAGUCCAUUUUUAGGCAAGCUUUACUCCAAAUUUUGCAUGGGGUCAUGUCAAACUCACUUAAUAAAACUUGUUCACCAUCAUAUGGACUUCAACUUCUCUAUAAACACCAUAGUCCAAAGUUCUAUGGUUUAGCCACAAAUGAGCUCCAAACAGCAUACUCAACACUGAAACUCCACUCACUUCACUAUUCACUAUCUGAAAUUCCAUGAGUCUGUCAACACUUCUUUGGACCACCUUUUCUGCUGGUAGCAUAUACUUUUAAGGCAAAGUUGCUUAACAAAUUUUGUACUUCAAUAGUUCCUCUACAAUUUCUAUAUAGUGACCCUUAGCUAAACCCUUUUGGAUUCCACUCUACCACAACCCAAAGUUUGCACAAAAUACUGAAAUUCAGACUGUAUUUUAUUAAGUUUGAACCCCACACUUUCCAGCAGCUCUACUUUAGACCAGUUCUUCUCCAAAUUCCAUAUAGAUUUAAGGCUAGGUUACUCAAUCAAAGUCACACUCCUCACAUAGCUUUAUAAUUUUUUUACAAUGACUACCUUCAAAAUGUUUAUAGAUCAGAAGUUAUAAAGGACCAAAACUUCCUAGUUGCUACUAUUUUCAGCAAUUCCAAUCUGAGCUCAAAACUGAACUUUGAUGAUUUACUCCAAUUUUCUUCACACAACAUGGGAAUCUCCAAAUAAGAAAUUCAUUCACUUUUUCAAGCUCCACAACUUUGAUAUAUGGACUUUUGUCAAAUUACUUCUAGAUUUUGAAUUCCUCUUUUGGGCUAGUUUUAGUGUUUCACAUGUUCUUCAUUUUCUUCAAGUGUUUCUUCCACUUGCUCUACCUUUGAAAACAAGGUUGCCAUAAACUCUAGGACUUGCCUUUAGCACUUGAAGUUUCCAAGUCAAUUUGUUAUUUGCUCAAGAGUUGACCUACUCUUGUCUAGCUUAAGCCAAGUCCUUAAACUAAACUCUAACAACACACAACAUCACACUGUUUGAAAAAAAAUUAACCUAGUGAAUGCAUUCUAAGUGUAACAAGCACAUUAAUGCAGAUGCUUAUGAUGACAUGUCGGAGUUUUAGUUUACGUAACACCAGAGGUGUUACAACCUUCCCCCCUAAAAAGAAAUCUCGUCCCGAGAUUUAAAAGUCUAGGCUUAGUAAUGGAAAAGGAAACGUGUCACGGACUUAUUUCCUAAUUUCUCUUACAAGGUAGGGGAGGUGUUUUGUUUUACUUAACCACGAUGUUGUUCAACACCUCUAAGGCAGUUACCUAAGCUCCUUCCCAAGGAGUCAUUCCUUUAGAAUGGAACAUCCAAUGUGGCCAAGAUGGUUUUCUAGCACGUUCUGGAAUACGCACUACUACUCAUACCAUGGUUGUCCUCUAAGAAUAGUGUGCGACAACAUUUCUCUAAGGGGGAAAUCUUUUAUUAGCAUAGUUCUUAGCAUGAUGCAUGUAUAAUUACAGAAUCAACCUUAGUUGAUUCAACCUUCUAUGCAUUACACUCUUCCUAUCUGGUCUUUAAAAUAAACUCUUCAGAAACACUUAGGUAAGAAGGGAAGAAAUUUUUUAGAUAAGUCUUUAGAAAAUUCUUUUUGAAGAUGCCUCAUAAUAUCUGCAGAGAUGGGCUUCGCUCCGAUACCAGCUGUGACGGAACCUCCCAAGUAAUUAGGCCCACCUACAGUUGUCCUUGUCCAACAGACAUCAGACAACCCUGUAGAUGUUCCUGAAUCACUUGACAAGUUCGGUAUCUUCUUUUCUCACCUUUCCCAAGAGCGUUUCACCCGUCUUGCAGACAUUACAGAACAUCGGAGAUAUAGAAAUGCGGAAGCAAUUAUAUAAACUUACAUUUAUUUAGAAAGUAAGAUCAAGUUAUUUAUUACAGACCAGAGUUAUAAAACGAGUGCAGGGUAGUAUUAUUACACAUACCAGGGGAGGCAAAAACUCCUCCCGAUAACUAUCAAACAAAGGUUCUUAUGGAGGACCACGUCCUCCCGCAUCUUCACUCUUGUUUUUCUUCAUUUGACACCACCUUGGAGCAAAAGCAACAAAAAUUUGUCGCUUCCUCACCUAAAAACAACGGAGGGAUAAACCCUGAGUAUGGAAUUACUCACCAAGUCUUACCCGACUAAGAAAAAGACUCUCAAGGGUAUGCUGGAUAAUUAGGAAUCAAGGAGAGGCUUUAGCAAAAAUCAACUUAGAUACUUUUGCAGAAAUAGCUUACUAAAGUGAGUCCUUACUUUCAAUAUUUUAACACCAUAUUAAGUAUUAAUAGACUCUAUUUGCAUCUAGUCUAAUUUCACCAUCUCAUCAAUACAACAUCAUUUUUAUUCAUAAUGUUCACAUCCUGACUUAGGUUGUAGGGAAGUGACCAAGUCUUCAUAACCGCGAAGGUACGGCGAUCUGAAUCGAUUAUACUCAGCUGAGGAUCUCCAAUCACACGACAUAUGUAGCACUUAACCCUUGCAUAUGUCAACCCGCCACCGGGGUUCUUAAGACCAGAUCAGGUUCACGCAAACCGAGAGCACAGAUACACCACCGUCCAGCCUCUUGCCACGGAGGGUACACGCUACUCUCGCCACCGCUCCACGCCCAUUUCGUGUUAUCUUAUUUUGGCCUUAGUCUUCCCGAGGCAAGGCUUACCCAUGACGAGGCAUGUGACCAGUUAAAGGGUCCUCGAUCAGCACGCCUACAUACACGUUCAAUCCUUAAUCAACCUGGGUAGAACAUCACCUGUUCCUAACCCAAGUCUCAAUUUAAGUAUUCCCAUCCUUAGGAUUGUUUCUGUUCCUUAGGAUGAGAAGAGCAUCAUAGGGAACUUUACAGUAAGAUCCCACCAUUGCUCCAAAUGAAAAUAUUCUUGCAGGUAGAAGUCAUCCUUUCUCGAGCUAGGCUAAGGACAACCUCUAUCCACAAGAUCUGAGCAAGGCUAAGCAUUUUUGUAAAUCAUAUUUUGAUACUUCACUGAAGUAUCUAUAAAGGUAUGGAUAUCAAGGAAAGCAAUGCAUCAAAGGGUUCCAAGCAACUCCUAUGAACCUAAUGCACAUUUCAUUAGACUUAAAGUGUGCGAAAAUUAUUUAAAAACACAAGGAAAGGGUUGCAUGCACCGGGGCUUGCCUUCGUUAGUAGGUGAGUCAGGCUCGGACCCGCAGAUGUCGAAGUAGAGCCAAGUCCCUGCCUGAGAUUCCAAAGGUGGUGGCGUCUUCUCUUCAGUCACUUCACUCUCUUCUUCGUUUUCUAAAUAUAACCAUAUAGGUAUAUAUAUAAGAAUGAAUGCCAUGUAAUGCUUAUGAGAGUGCAUAGAUAAUAAAGGUUUAUUAACUAAGUUUUGAAUACAACUUUCCUUCACGGAACUCCGAGAACUUAGGGUUUCCGGAGUCAGUAAAGGAGUUCAAAGGGCAGGGGUAGGGUUUGGGUUAUAAGUAUCAAACAAUGUCCAAAUCAUAUCAAACUCUACCCAAGGUCUCAAAAUAUUGUUGAGAGAUUACCCUAAAAAUUUAGUGAAUUUUGGAUUUAUUAUAUAAUCUCUAAAAAUUCAGAAACAUGGUUUUUGGAUGAUUUAAAUACUCUAUAAUUUCCUAUUUGGACUAAAAAUCAUGAAACUAUUUUUAUUAAAUUCUAUAGGAAAUUAGAAGCCCAAUAAAAUUGGUUUGGUAUUUUUAUCAUUUUUCUUGAAUUCUUUAUGGAUUUCUCAACUUUCUUAGAAAAAGAAAAAGAAAAACGUUCAAUAGUAUUGUGCCAAAUUGUGCCCAACCGGCCCAGUUUAAGCAGAUUACAGGGGCGCGCCCGCGGCAGCGCAGCCUGUUUUGCAUAAAAGUCCUUGCCAGAGUUAAUAUUAGGAACGAAGUCCUCAACUAAACUCUGCGAGUCACUGACAUUUUACUUCUGGCCCCUUCUAGGUUUCUCGUCUUUACAACGUGAGUCCCUGACGUCGUCGGCGGCGCGGACGCAUUCCCACCGCGACACAACGGCGGAGGAGAGCCUGGGCAGCCGUUGGAUAGCGACCAGACCAAAUCCUAACCUACCCCGAGCAUCUAUAGGCAUGGAUUUGACUCACUAACUUACAGAGUGCCAUGACCACGUUCAAGGCGGGAGCCCAGUACCGCGACGUUCACCCAAAUGGCUCCGGCACAGGAUGUUUCAAAUUGAGGGCACAGGGAGCACGAGUAGGAUGCGGGAAACACGACGCUCACAAGAAUUGCCCCUGGGCCAACUGAACUUUGAGUGGGUCAUCACCAGGACAGUUCACGCGGUGUCAAGCCCGUGUUCCGACCAAACCAAGACCGUAAGGACCAAACGGACUUCUCGGUGAGCUUCACCAAGGUACGGGGAUGCUAGAACAUCAGCUUGUGGGGGUUAAGACAUACCACAGUCGUCUGGCCACGUGAAGCCGAGGUGUUGCCGGGGUGGUCAUCAAAUAAGUUUGGUGCCUUGAUCGAUGGAACUUAGGUGUGUCUAGGGUAUGAUUUGGGGGUGUAGUACUACUAAUCAUGGCUGCUCAACAUGG
rnacentral:lncRNA from 1 species